CCCAUAUACACCAUCAUACAACAAAUUCUACCUUUUGAAUCUCUUCAUACAAUCAAUUUUGAAUUCUCGCUCCCAUUUUCGUCUUCACCAACUGUAAGGUAGAUUUGACUGCAAUUUUCUUCACUAUGUCUAGGCCUAGGAGGGGAUAUAAUCAGAAUGGGAAGAAUAAUAAGAGAGUCAAAAAUAAGACAGCACAAGUGAUACCAGAACCAAAAAAUGAUUGGCUAUGCAGACAGUGUAACAAUAUGAUAAGUGCAAAGAUAACAACAGCACAUGCACACAGAGAUGCAUGCAACAAAAUCAAGGAGGCUCAAGUUAGGGUGGCUGCAAAUGCAAGACAAGGAAUUUACUGAUCUAUGCUACAAGAUUUACUGUUUGAGAGAUAUCUGAUGUGUCAUAUUCUGAAAUAGACUCUUUUGUAUGUGAUUCUUGGCUUUGAGACUCAGGGUUCCCUGUAUCUGUUUGAUCCAAGACAUAGUUCUUUGAAUGUUUGACUGAGAUAUUUUGAUAAAAGGAGUAGACAGAUUGUCUAGACUGUACCUUUAAUGUGACAUUUUGAUAAAAGGAGUUGACAGAUUGUUUAGACUGAUACCUUUAAUGUGACAUUUUGAUAAAGGAGUUGACAGAUUGUUUA